UAUAAUUCUAAUUUUAUAAUUUAUAAAAAUCAAUUUUAUAGCUGAUCCCAUAUGUGUACAUGGUGUAGAAGUAGCCACACAAACAUCAUUUGAGACAAUAACCAACCAAGCAUCAAUUGAUUUAAUUUAUUCAGCUCCAACCAAUUAAA